ACCGCAUAUGGGCAGUGGUUAAGGUGCCACGCACCCUAAUGUUAGUUUAAUAUCUGAUACGUCCCCCAUUGUCGGACUACAUAUUAAGUGGAUUUUUAGAACAGGGAUUCGGCAAAGGGGCUUGCUCCAUCCGCUCCAUGCAUCGACCCAGUAUUGCAUUGCCUCUGGAAGGUGUGCACUUUAU
ensembl:snRNA U2 U2 spliceosomal RNA